rnacentral:rRNA from 1 species
AGUCGUAACAAGGUCUCCGUAGGUGAACCUGCGGAGGGAUCAUUACACAAAUAUGAAGGCGGGCUGGAACCUCUCGGGGUUACAGCCUUGCUGAAUUAUUCACCCUUGUCUUUUGCGUACUUCUUGUUUCCUUGGUGGGUUCGCCCACCACUAGGACAAACAUAAACCUUUUGUAAUUGCAAUCAGCGUCAGUAACAAAUUAAUAAUUACAACUUUCAACAACGGAUCUCUUGGUUCUGGCAUCGAUGAAGAACGCAGCGAAAUGCGAUAAGUAGUGUGAAUUGCAGAAUUCAGUGAAUCAUCGAAUCUUUGAACGCACAUUGCGCCCUUUGGUAUUCCAAAGGGCGUGCCUGUUCGAGCGUCAUUUGUACCCUCAAGCUUUGCUUGGUGUUGGGCGUCUUGUCUCUAGCUUUGCUGGAGACUCGCCUUAAAGUAAUUGGCAGCCGGCCUACUGGUUUCGGAGCGCAGCACAAGUCGCACUCUCUAUCAGCAAAGGUCUAGCAUCCAUUAAGCCUUUUUUUUCAACUUUUGACCUCGGAUCAGGUAGGGAUACCCGCUGAACUUAAGCAUAUCAAUAAAAAGUCG